rnacentral:rRNA from 1 species
AUGGCUAUCUUCGAUGAGUUCUACGUUGGGUCCAUUGAUCUUGGGCGCCUCAACUAUGGGACGAUUUCUCUUAUCCCCAAGGUUCCUGGGGCGUCAGACAUCCGUCAGUUCCGCCUGAUCACGGUGAUAAAUGUGAUCUUCCGGAUUUUGGCAAAAGGGUACACCAAUUGGGUGACCCUGUUCAUGGACCAUAUUACCCACCCCAACCAAUCGACUUUCAUCCAAGGCCGAUAUAUUCUGGAUGGGAUGCUAGUCCCGCAUGAAGUUCUCCAUGAGGUCCGCUCCAAACAACUCAAGGCGGUCUUUCUGAAGAUAGACUUCCAUAAGGCCUAUGACACUGUUAGUUGUCCCUUCCUUCGGGAAGUUCUUCUCCGGAAAGGCUUCGAUGGCCGUUGGGUUACUCGGGUUAUGCAGAUGGUAUCUUGUGGUCGCACUGCUGUGAACAUCAAUGGGGAGAUUGGCCCUUACUUCCCCACUUUCUGUGGGGUGAGGCAAGGUGAUCCUUUCUCCCCAUUCUUGUUCAAUAUGGUGGUGGACGCACUUGCUGCCAUCCUGGAUAAGGCUAAGGCUGUUGGCCAUAUCCGUGGGAUUACCCCCCACUUGGCUGGUGGCACCGGCAUUUCCAUGCUCCAGUAUGCCGACGACACCAUCAUCAUGGUCGAAGGCUCCGAUGCGGACAUCGCGAACCUUAAAUUCCUCCUACUCUGCUUCCAACACAUGUAUGGCCUCAAGAUGAACAUCGACAAGAGUGAUGUGAUGGUGAUGGGCUAUUCUCCGGUAGAGUCCCUCGACAUUGCCAACCGCCUGAAUUGUCGCCUCGGUUUCUUGCCCACCUCCUACCCGGGGACUCCCAUCAGCGACUCGAGGCUUACCGGUGCUGACUUGCGUCUGACUGUGACCAAGUUGCAAAUGUGUAUUGAGCCUUGGCAGGGCCGGUGGCUGUCGAAGGCGGCCUGA